AUCGGUUUGUCUAUACACAACAAAAGAGUACUCGACUUCCAGUGGAGAGACUUGGACGAAUGUACAGCUACUGAAUGCUGAGACACCUACCAAUGGUUGAAUAUUCGAAGACACUUCAACCUAGUUACCAGUUGCCUCGUGAUCUGAAAACAUGAAGUUGAAAAUGCUGUGUAUAAACCCAGUGAGUGAACAAGAAGGGAACAAGCACACCAUAAUGAAUGUUUAACGAAAUCAUGAUGCAUUCAUUUUUCAAAACAAUGCAAUUUGUUUUAGUUCUUAUUAAAGCCCCUCAUGUAAACCCCACAUGAGUUAAUCAUUUUAUGAAAAGGGUCCAUGAUCAAAAAAGGAUUUGGAGAGUGAAAACUUUAAUAGCAUUCAUGCGAAUCAGGUCAAAUAAAUGACGAGUCCUCGCUGCAGCAAAAAGUCAUUCUCGCUGCAGAUUUAAAUUAUCAACUAACCGGGGGUUUCUUAACUGGCCAAGGGUUUCUCACCAAACUUCCUCAUUUUAAACUUAAGUAAUUUAUUCCUUAAUGUUGGAAGUCCAUGCUCAACUAUGGUACCAAAGAAAUGGAAAAUAGAGUAGCAACCGAACCAAAUGAGGACAAAAACAGAAAGUUUUUCACUGCAGCGAGAUUGAAUCUCGCUGCAGCAAAAUUUUUGGUCUCAAAACAGAAAGUUUCUUGCUGCAGCGAGAAUGAAUCUCGCUGCAGCGAAAUUUCGACCAGCACCACCCUUCCAAACCUAAGAGUUUCUCACUACAACAAGAUUGAAUCUCGCUGCAGCGAGAAACAAGGUACCAACAAAAAAAUUCCAUUCCCCUCAAGAAAAAGCCAUCUUGUUAUGUUAACAAAAACAACAUGAAACACAUAAAUUCCCAAAAUUCAACCAGUCAAAUUCUCACAUUUUGCAUUACAACCAUAUACCAUAUAUGUAUAUAUAUAUAUAUAUAUCAAUCAUCAUGCACACCCUCCCAUCAUCAUCAGCUCAUAUGCAUUGGCUUAUGUGCACUCCCAUUCGCACAUAGCCGGGUCAGCAUCGACUUAUGCGCACUCCCACUCACACAUAGUUGGGUCAAUAUCAUUACACAACAUUAUUUAUAUAUAUAUAUAUAUAUAUAUAUNCACAACAUUAUUAUUAUAUAUAUAUAUAUAUAUAUAUAUUAACAUAAUGUAGAAAUACAACAAUCCAUAAUAGCCACAUGUCACACAUAGAGACAAUUUAUCAAAGGUUUGUUCCCAAGGCACCCAUUUUGAGAAAGAUUGAAUAAAUCAUUCACAUUCCCAAAACUAUUUUUGAAAUGCAAGUUCACUCACCGAUAUCUUGUUGAACUUUUUGUCAACUCUACUUCUCUAAUUGUCCAAAUGGGGUGAUGGGGCUUUGUUGGAACCUAUUAUCAAAUUAGCAUCACCAUUAAUUCAAGCCACACACUUAUAAACUCUAAAAGCUUUCUCUUAGCUAGCUUUCAAAUUGCCAUUUAAGUGUGUAUCUAAGUUCACUAUCUUAAUCACUCUAAAGUGAAUGAACAACCCCAACUACCAAAUCAGCCCCAAGUCUAAACACUAAUCAUUUUCAACAUUAAAACUCAAUUCUAGUGUACUACUCACCUUGGUAGCUUGUAUUUGAAAUUCUUCCCAAAAACUUUCAAGCUAUUAUUAAAGCUUCCUCUUUCUCUCUCUAAAACACCUAACUAGUGAGAGGGAGUAUGGAAACAAGAUUUUUCAAGGGUUUUAAAGUGAGAGAGUGGAAGAGCACAAGGGUUUAUGAAAGGGUGCCCCAAAAGCUUGAUAAGUGGAGCUAUUUUGAAGAAGGUUGUGAAGCUUUCUUAUCAAGCUUUCAUGGAGGUUGGGAAGCAACAUGAAAGAGAAGAAGAAGAAGAAAAGCUACUAGAGAAUGUAGAAGCUACUGAAAGAAAGAGAUAUUUAUAGCUCAAGCUUAUCCACUCCACUUAAAUUACCAAAGUGCCCCUCCACAAAAUAGCUUAUUCUCCUCCAAACUUUUAUGAAAUCUUUUGCUCUUUUGACACUGGGACAAGGUCCAUAAUGGUCUAGAAAUGCUCAAGUUCAUGAAAACUUAAAAAUUCUAACCCAAGGUGAAAAAUGACAAUUUUGCCCUUAUCAUGAAAAUCAUCAAAAUUUUUGUUUCCUUGUCAUUUUACCCAUAUUUUCAUCAUCCAUUUAUGCCUUAGGCCUACUUAGGCCAUAAUAUUGUUUAAAAUCUUACUUUUAUGGGCAUACUAAGGAAAUGACGAAAUUACCCUUGAUUAGGAAUAUUGCAUGUACUUCUAUUUACGAGUCUAUAGAGGUCAAGGUCUCACAAAAAUGAUGUUCCAAACAUGGUUGAAAUGAAAUUCUAAAUUGUUCUCACACAAAUCCUUGUUUUGAGAUCAUUAUGCCUUGGAACAUUGCAUGUUCUUCACCUUUUUCUAGCUUUUCAAUAUGUAAGAAUCAAGCAUAAUUGACUCCUUAGCAUAGCUAGUCGACUAUUGUAGAAAAAAAUGCAAACAAUGCUGCUGGAAUGAUAAAAAGUGAACCCAAGGGAUAUGUAGUCGACUUUUGAGUGCUCUAAAGCCAAAAUGGACAAGUUUUGAGUUCCAAAAUGUCUUCUUACUUUACUUUUUGUCCAUUGCAAUAUUUUCUUCCCUAAAUUUUCUUUUCAAAGAUGAUUCUUGACUCUUAAAAACAUGCAUUAUUAAUACUCUUGUAAUCAUUUGGUGCAAGUUCAUGUUCUUGAAAUUGAAAAACUUGCUGAAAAAUGGGAAAUCCUUUUUGAUUACUUAAAUCUAUUUAUUCCCAAGCAUGAAACUCAUAUUGAUUCCAUAAAUCCUCAUGUGCUUACAUAAAUAAUAUCAGUUCUUGAGAAUAAAGUGUUCAUGUGCUUAUGUUGAAAAAUCUUCUCAAUGAAUCAUAAGAUCAAUUCUUGAAAUAUGCUUUAUGAUUAAACUUAAAUGAUUGUUUCAAGAUUGAUUAUUUGAUUUUACUUUUGAAAUUGAUCAUGAUGAACUUGUUGAACUUCAUGAAAAUAAAUUUUGGUCCAACUAUUAUAUUGGUCAAGACACAUACUUAUAUGAUUUUUCUUUAUGCUUGACCUUAAGGUUUGAAGUCUAAAACCUGACUUGAGCUAUGCAUUUGAAUAUGAAUUUAAUUGUCAAGUUUGAUCAUGGCAUAUAUUGUGAGUUGACAUAGUUGAAAUUUAUUUUGAAUAUGCAUUUAAAUGUUAACUAUGUCUUCAUUGAGCCUUAACGUUUACAUGAUCUAAAGAUUUUGUGUGCAUCCAACUUUAGCUUAUAGGUCACCAUAAACAACUUGACAUGUCAAAUAAAAUAUGGCCUAUAGUGUGAGACCUUGAUCUUUAUAGACUUGUAGCUAGAAGUAGACAUGAUAUCACGGACUAGGGGUAAUUUCAUCAUUUCUUUAGUGAGCCCCUAGAAGUAGGCUUUCAGACAUUAUUAAGGUCUAAGCAGGCCUAAGGAAUAAAUGAAUGAGGCUAAAAUAAAUGAAAAAGAUAUAAAUACUGAUAAUUUCCAUGAUGGGGGUAAAAUUAUCAUUUUGCACCUCGAGCCUAAAUUUUUAAGUUUUCGUGAAUUCGAGUACUUUUGGACUAUUAUGGACUUUGUCUCAAUGUUAAAAGAGUAAAAAGAGUACGUAAAGGAAAAGAGGAAGACAAGUGGCCUUGUUAAGGGCAUUAUUGUAAAUUGUAUGAAAAUUGGAUAAACUUUAACUAUAAAUAUCUAAUCUCCAGCAACUUUUCUUCAAUUUUCCAGCAACUUCUCUUCUUCUUCUUCUUCUUCCUCCUAUCCUCCUCUCCAUUCCAUGUUUCUUUGCACCUUUCAUGGAAAUAUCCUUUGAAAUUGUGAGACCUUGAUCUUUAUAGACUCGUAGCUAGAAGUAGACGCGAUUUCACUAACUAAGGGUAAUUUCAUCAUUUUCUUAGUGAGCCCCUAGAUGUAGGCUUUCAAACAAUAUUAAGGCCUAAGUAGGCUUAAGGCAUAAAUGAAUGAUGAAAAUAGGGGUAAAAUGACGAAGAAAAUAAAAAUAAUGAUGAUUUCCAAGGUAGGGGCAAAAUGGUCAUUUUUCAUCUCAAGUCAAAAUUUUAAGGUUUCAUGAACUUGAGUAUUUCUAAACUAUUAUGGACCUUAUCCCAGUGUCAAAAGAGUAAAAAGAUUGCACCAAGGAUUAGAGGAGAACAAGCCAACUUGUUAAAGGCAUUUUCAUAAUUUAAGUAAAGACUGGAUAAGCCUUAGCUAUAAAUAUCAUUUUUCUAGCAGCUUCUUCUUCUUCUUCCUCCCAUCUCACAUUUCUUUCAUCCUCCAUGGAAGCUUGUUUUGAAACCUCCAUAACUUCUCUCAAGUUAGCUCCAAUUUUCAUGCUUUUGUGCACCUUUUCAUAGAACCUUUUAUUCUCUUUCACUCUCUCACUUGAAAACCCUUGAAAAGUCUUACUUCCAUAAUUCCUCUCACUAGCUAGGUGUUUUAAAGAGAGAAAGAGGGAGUUUUUAUAAUAGCUUGUAAAUUUUUGGAAAGAAAUUCAAAUACAAAGCUACCAAGGUGAGUAGUGAAUUAAAGUUGAUUUUCAAGUGUUGAGAAUGGCUAGUGAUUAGACUUAUGAGUGUUUUGUAGUUUAGGUUGUUUUUUCAUUUUAGAGGAUUAGGAUAGUGAAAAUAGAGAGCAACUUAAUGGCAAUUGGAAGCUAGUUAGGAGAUAGCUUUUAGAAUUUAGAGUUAUGUGAAUUACGUUAAUUGUGAUGCUAAUGUGAUGAUAGGUUCCAACGAAGCCCCACCGCCCCAUUUGGACCAUUAGAGGAAGUUGGAGUUGGGUAAAGAUUUAACAAAUAUCGGUGAGUGAACGUGCAUUAAAUGUUUUAGGAUUAAGGCAUAUGUGUUUGAUGAAAUCCAUUGAAAUAUUUUAUCUAUUUUUCUCUAAAAUAUGCAUGGGAACAAGCUUUUAAUGAAACGUUUUGCGUUGUGGAAUGCAACUGUGAUGAAGCCACGUGCCUUGUGUUAUGUUGAUAUCUAUAUAUAUAUAUAUAUAUAUAUAUAUAUAUAUAUAUAUAUAUAUAUAUNNNNNNNNNNNNNNNNNNNNNNNNNNNNNNNNNNNNNNNNNNNNNNNNNNNNNNNNNNNNNNNNNNNNNNNNNNNNNNNNNNNNNNNNNNNNNNNNNNNNNNNNNNNNNNNNNNNNNNNNNNNNNNNNNNNNNNNNNNNNNNNNNNNNNNNNNNNNNNNNNNNNNNNNNNNNNNNNNNNNNNNNNNNNNNNNNNNNNNNNNNNNNNNNNNNNNNNNNNNNNNNNNNNNNNNNNNNNNNNNNNNNNNNNNNNNNNNNNNNNNNNNNNNNNNNNNNNNNNNNNNNGUCACUCCGCUGAUGGUCAAGAGUUUUAUGCUUGUGUAUACGUAUAAGUAAUGUAGACCAUUAAGAUUAAUGUUAAAAAUCAAAGAUGUAUAUUUGAUUACUGAUGCCAUUAUAGGUUGGCAAACGGGUGACAUUAUUUUAACAUAAUACAAAUGUGAAUAUUGGGUUGCUAUAAAAUGUUACUAAAAUAUUUAUAGUUGAGAAUUAUAAUAUGUGGUUUUAGAAUGAUGGCCGGGAAUGAUGAUUAGGAUUGCAUAGAAAGGCUUGCUUGGGCUUAGUGGGCUAUGCUCAUUAGGCCCAUGUGCCGGUCAUGGCCUUGGAUUUAGGUUGUGACACCUUUUUCAAGAAUAAGGUAUGUUUUACCAACCCACUCUAUUUAAAUUCAAGGACAAAUUUUCUUUAAGGAAGGGAGACUGUAACACCUCGUACCCUUGUAUAGAAGCCAAUAAGACCUUAUCGAUGAGACAAAGUGUGAGACCUCAACCUCUAUAGGCCCGCAACUAGGUGUAAACGAGAUAACACAGGUUAGGGGUAAUUUCAUCAUUUCUCAUGAUGAGCCCCUAGAAGUAGGCUUGCAUACAUUAUUAACGUCUAAGUAGUUCUAAGGAAUAAAUGAAUGAGGGUAAAAUAAAUGAAGAAGAUAUAAAUACUAAUAAUUUUCAUGGUAGGGGUAAAAUGGUCAUUUUACACCUUGAGCUUAAAUUUUAAGUUUUCAUGAACUCGAGUACUUUUGGACUAUUAUGGACUUUGUCUCAGUGUUAAAGGAGUAAAAAAAGUGCAUAAAGGAAAGGAGGAAGACUAAUGUCCUUGUUAAGGGCAUUAUUGUAAAUUAUAUGAAAAUUGGAUAAACUUUAACUAUAAAUAUCUAAUCUCUAGGAGCUUCUCUUCUUCUUCCUCCUAUCCUCCUCUCCAUUACAUGUUUCUUUGCACCUUUCAUGGAAGUAUCCUUUGAAACCUUUAAAACUUUCCCAAAUUAGCUUUAUUUCUCAUGUUUUUCUACACCCUUUCAUAGGGUUUUCCAUGCUCUUCCACUUUUACACCUCAACAGCCUUCAAAAGUCUUUCUUAAGUAUAUUCACUCACUAGUUGGAUGUGUAGAGAGAGAGGGAGUGAUUUCCCUUAUUAGCUUGGAAAAAUUUUGAAAAGAAAUUCAAUUCCAAAUCCACCAAGGUGAGUGAACUUGCAUUUAAAAUAUUUUGAGAAAUGUAUUGGUAUUUGGAUGAAGCAUGUGAAUGAUUUUUAUUUGAUUUUCCCUUAAAGAUUAUGCAUGGGAACAAGCCUUUAUUGAAACGUUUUAUGUGGUGAGUGUGUAAUAUGAUGAAUCCUUGUGCUCCUAUAGGAUGCUUAUAUAUAUAUAUGUUAUGUAUCGAUAGUUAAUAUUGUGUAAUAAACAUAACCGUGCGUGUGCGCGAUGUGGGGGAUGCACAUGCCGGUGAUGACGAGUGCAGGAGUGUGGAUGAUGAUAUUGCCUCUACGUGAUGUGGGGGUUGCACAUAGAGGUAUUAGCUGUGCACGAUGUGGGGGAUGCACACGAUGACUCCAGCUAUGUGCGCGAUGUGGGGCUUGCAUAUGAGCUAGGUGAGGCGGUGGUGGUAUUAGUGGUUAUAUAUGUAUAUAUAUAUAUAUAUAUACAUUUAUGCAAGAGAAAGUUCAUGAAUAUGGAAUAUAGUUGUAAUGUAUGUGAAAUUUUGCAUGUUGAACCUUAGAAAUUGCUAAGUGUUUUCCAGUUGAUUUUGUCAUUGCAAAAGAAUGGCCUUUUCUUGAUAUAAUGAGAACUUUCUUCUUGGUGUUCUGUUUCUCGCUACAGCAAGAAACUCUCGGGUUGAGAGGCUGGUUGCAAUCCUGUAACUUGCUGCAGCGAGAUGUCUACAGGUGGUUUUGCGCUACAACGAGAAACAUUUGAUCGUGCUUGCUAGCUUGUUUGGUUUCUGCCGUAUUUGCCACUUCUUUAACAUCAUGAUUGAUCAUGGACUUCCAACAUCAAGGAAUUGAUUAAUUAAGUUUGAAAUGAGGGAUUUUAGUGAGAAACCCUCGGCCAGCUAAUGCUUUGAGCCCAAAUUUCGCUGCAGCGAAAAUUCAUUCGCGCUGCAAUUAUCAGUCAUUUCGCUCGACUUGCUUGAAUGCUACUAAAGUUUUCACUCUUCAAAUUCUUUGUUGUGCAUAUAUCCUUCAUCAUCAAGUGAUUAAUCAAUUAAGGGUUUUAAUGAGGGGUUUUAAUAAGAACUAAACUAAACUGCAUUGUUUUUGAAAAUAAGUGCAUCAUGAUUUCUUUAAACUUUUCGUAUCACUUGCUUGUUCCCUUCCUUUGUUCACUCACUGGGUUUAUGUCACGACCUAAAUUCUGGGCCAUGACCGGCGCAUGGGCCCAAUAGACGUAGUCCACUAAGCCCAAGCAAGCCUAUUUAUAUGACUUGUUCACCAUUCCAUCAAAAGUUGCUAAAGUCACAUUUCAUAAUUUUGAAUCAAAAUAAUGCUAAUCAUUGCCCACUCAUAGUGGCAUUCCCAUCAAAAUAUACAUAUGUUGUCUACAACAUAUAUAUUAAUAAUUUACAUUGGUUUGUCUAUACACAACAAAAGGAGACUCGAUUUCCAACAGAGAGACCCGAGUGAUGUACGGCUACUAAAUGCCAAGAUACCUACAAAGAAAACAAAUCUACAAAGGCACCUCGACCUAGUUACCGACUGCCUCUUGAUCUGAAAACAUGAAGUUGAAAACGGUGAGUAUAAACUAGUGAAUGAACAAGAAAGGGAACAAGCAAACAAUAAGGAAUGUUUAACGAAAUCAUGAUGCAUUCAUUUUUCAAAACAAUGCAAUUUAUUUUAGUUUUUAUGAAAACCCCUCAUGUAAACCCCACAUGAGUAAAUCACCUUAUGAAAAGGGUCUAUGCUCAACAAAGGAUUUGGAGAGUGAAAACUUUAAUAGCAUUCAUGCGAAUCAAGUCAAAUAAACGACGGUCGUAGCUGCAACGAGAAUGCCUUUCCACUGCAGUGAAGUUAGGAUUCAAGUUAUUAGCCAAACGAGGGUUUCUUAACUGGCCGAGGGUUUCCCACCAAACCUCCUCAUUUCAAACUUAACUAAUUAAUUCAUUAAUGUUAGAAGUCCAUGCUCAACUAUGGUACCAUAGAAGUGGAAAAUAGGACAGCAAUCGAACAAAAUAAGGAACAAAACAGAAAGUUUUGUGCUAUAGUGAGAAUGAAUCUCGCUGCAGCAAAAUUUAUGCCAUAAAAUAGAAUUUGCAAUUAUCGUCUUGACUCAACUAAAUGAACAAGGUUAAUAACAACACAAGGCCAAUUGUGUGGCACACUAAAAACCUAUAAAGAUGAAUUAGGGAUUGAAUGGAAAGUAUGUAUUUAUAUAUCUUUAAGAAUAAGUGCAUGUCUAUAGGACGAUAUGCUCGGGAUGUUAAGGAGCAAAUAAGAGAAUAAGUGUUUUAGGAUUACACAAACAUCUUUGAGAAAGAAUUACCAAUCAUACACGACAAGUAUAAAAUGUGGGAUUUUUGAAACUUGCUGAGGAGCCUAACGGCCAAGUCACGGGUUAAGUGAUCACAUGCGGUGAGACGAAGUUUAAGAUAGAUAUCCCUAAGGAAAUACUCAAGAGAAGUUUUGUCAGGGAUCUAGUGAAAGCAAGCAUUAAGUUAUGUGGUUAUAAAGAGGAAGCCGUAAGCUUAAAGUGAUAUUCGUAUUGACAUUGAAAAGUACUUGAGGAGGACCUUGUUUCAAGUCUUGUAGUUUCAAGUACAAAUUACAAAUUGGUCCAGGGAGAAUGAUGUCACAAUAGUAUGGAAGAAUAGAACAAAGGAUGAUUGAAGAUAAUUUGGAUAAUGAAGUUCGAUAAUGAAAAAACUUCCUAGUGUAGUAUGGAAAUUGGAACUCGAAAAUGCUUGAGGCAUGCACGAUUCGAAUGAGUCUAAGUUUUAAGUGACUCAUUAAAGUCGAAAUGCAAUAAAGAUAUAAUAUAUAUAUAUAUAUGGUAGAGUUAUGAAGAAUAAUUGAGAAAUAAUGAUGCCUUUUAGGGAUUAUGGUAUUGCAUAAGAUACAAUGAUCCAAUAAAGAUAAACCUUUGAAAUAUCAAUGAGAUUAUAAAGCGUAUAAGAAUACCGGAUUGUAAUUUAAUGCAAAUGACAUUUAGCAAGUGAGAUGUGAUUAAUGACAUCAUGAUGCAAGGAUAUAUACAGUACGAUGAAACUCAAGCAUAUAAUUGGAAAUGACAUAAACGAUAUGAAGUUAUGCAUAGGCAUAACAAGAAUGUUGACAUGCACUAUGAGGAUUAUUAUAUUGAAUCUUGGAUAGGGAUGGGGAUGAAUAAAGGAAAAUGUAAUCCAAGGCACGUGAACACAUGGAUCCCUAUGCGUAACAAGGAAUGUUGACAUUUGGAAAUGCAUGUACAUACGUAUAUGUGAAAUUGAUGACUUGACCAACCGAGGUGAAGAAUUUUUCUCAGUAAUUUGAGAUUUGUACUUUAUGUAUUUGAUGAGUUGUAUAAAUGGUACUUUAUGUAUUUGAUGACGAUCAAGCUUGGGUUAGCUUGGUUGUUGUGGUAGGUUCUAACUAAGCCUUAGAAAAGUUAGUUUUGGGUUUUAGUUGAUCCCGUGAAAAACCAUUGUUAAAGGUUGUGGCUGAGCCUGUGAAAAUCCAUUUUAGGUUUUGGUUGAUCUUGUGAAAAACUAUCAUUAAAGGUUGUGGCUAAGCUUGUGAAAAGCCAUUGUAAAAGCUUGGUGGAAGCUUGGGAAUUCCACUUAUUUUAGUAAAUUGGUUUAAAAAUCCUUGAUUGAGAGAUUAAGUGGACAAAACCACUGUAAAUCAUCGUGUUUUGUCUACGUUCUUUUAUUUUCUUCUUACUCUUAGCACUUAAAUCAUUCCUUCAACAAGCUUUAAACUUCCAUUUUCAAAUUCUUUAUCAACAUUUUACUUGGAAAGAAUUUUAGUGUCAUUCCGAAAAUGCUAUUCACCCCCCUCUAACACGUUCUUUAGGACCAACAAUUUUUUGUUUGCAUAUCAAUGAUAGCAAUUAGCUCCCGAGUCAUGAAGGUAUGGUCCGUUCUUCUUCCUUUGAUAGUUAUUUAGUAACCCACUUAAUGCCUAGAGAGUCGGGUCAUGUUCCGUUGAUGAGUGGGUCUUUACUUUAUGUUUAUGCUUAUGGAUAUUAAGCAUGUUUAUGAUGAAGUAGCCAAUGUUUGGCAUUUACUUUAUGAAUGUUAUGGAUAAAUGUGCAAAGGUGGCUCAAAAGCCUACAUGGACACUCGAGGGUGUUGAUAAAUGAUUAUGGCAUGGUGUAUGAGUUUUUAACUUUAACUAUGUUAUUAAAUGAAUGAACUUAUACUGUUUAUGUUGAUAAGUUCCAUAAUUGUGUAAUAUUACUUAUGGAUGAAUGCAUGUGCUUGAUACUAUAUGGCUUUAUGGAUUAUGAUUAUGUUUAAUGGGCCAAGUUAUGAAUGAAUGAAUGUACGGAAGCUUGUUUGGGUCUAGUGAGCUGUACCCGUCAAGGUUCCUGCACUAGUCAUGUCACACCACGAGACGAGAUGUGACAAUUGGGUAGGACAACUUGCCAAUGGUAUGAUUAGUUACAUAGAGGCAAGGGGCUUGGUGUUACACUAAUUACUUGGCAAGAGUUUAGCAUAGCCUUUCUAGAGUGUUUUCUAUAAGACAGUGUGAAUGAGGCUAAAGCCUGAGAGUUUGAGAUACUGGUAUAGACUCUAGGGAUGACAAUUCCAGAAUACAACAUAUGGUUUACUGAAUUGUCUCAAUAUGCACCUUACUUGGUCGUUACAGAGGAGAUAAGUGUUAUGAGGUAAUGGAUUGGUGCGACCUCUAUAUAGGGUCAUAGUGCCCCAUGAGUUUACUAACUACUCCAAGGCAGUGAAUUGUGGUCAAAGACUGGAGAUGAAGGAUAUGGAAACUUAAAGAGGUCAGGAUAAGCCCAAGAAGGCUAAGAUCAAAGGCUAGCAUAAAGGUUCACAAACAUCCCAAUAGGGGAGUGGUUCAAUUAGUAACUCUAAGAAAGGUAAAAAGGUUGCCAAACCACCUAAACAACAGACUAUUGGGCAAUCUCAUCUAGAUAGAUCACCAUGUUCUUCGUGUGGUAGGAGGCACCGAAGGCAAUAUCUCUAAAGAUCCACUUCAUGUUAUUCAUGUGGGUUGACUAGUUAUUUUACUAGUGAGUGUCCUAAUGGUUGAAAGUUUAAAAGAUCGACUUAAGGACGGCCAUAGCUAACUUUACCUGCCCCACUCAUUGUGGCGCAACCUACUAAAGAGACUAGAGGAGCUAACGAUAAAUGUGCUAGUAGCUCAUCACAGGGCAUAAGGUUUAGAGCCCAAGGUAUAGCCAAUCAAGGACAAGCUUUGACUACACAAGAAGCACAAGCAUCCAAUGCAGUUCUUAUAGGUAUUUACCUAGUUGUUUCAUUUAUACACGUGUAUUGUAUGACCCUGGUGCUACACAUUCUUUCAUGUCCCCAUACUUUGCAUCUAGACUAGGUAUAAAGUGCUUCAAGAAAGAGCAAGAAUUGGUAGUUUCCACACCCUUGAUGAGGUGUUUGUUGCAAGGUAUGAGUAUAAAGUUUGCGUGGUCUGAGUUUGAUGUGAUUUUUGUGAUGGAUUGGUUAUCUACAAGCUAUGUUAGUGUGGAUUGUCACUACAAGAGAGUUAGGUUUGACUACCCUAUAAAGAGAUCUUUCUAUAUACAAAGAGAUCGCAGCAUGGUCUCAAGUAGCAUGAUAUUGGCUAUGAUUGCUAAUCACUUGAUGAGACAUGGGUGUCGAUGAUUUUUGGUCAAAGGGGUUAAACCCCCAAACAGAGAUAGUUAGUGUGGCAGAUGUGCUUCUUGUGAGCGAGUUCGCAAAUGUAUUUUCAGAGGAGCUACCCAAAUUACCUCCAAAUCAGAAGAUAGAGUUUUACAUAGACUUGGCGGAGGACACCAAUCUAAUUUUUAUACCACUAUACUAAAAUGGCACCAACUAAGCUCAAAGAGAUCAAAGAUCACUAGGAGGAUUUGCUAGACAAAAGCUUCAUUCACCCUAAUGUCUUACCAUGGGUUGCACCGAUUUUACUUAUGAAGAAAAAUGAUAGAUCAAUGAGACUUUAUCUCGAUUAUCAGCAGUUGAACAAAGUGACCAUAAAGAACAAGUAUACUCUUCCACAUAUAGAUGAUUUGUUUAAUCAGUUGCAAGGGGCCAAGUGUUUCUCUAAAAUCGACCUACAAUCGAGUUACCAUCAAUUGAGGAUUAGAAGUAGAGACAUACCUAAGACUGCUUUCUGUAUAAGGUAUGGUCAUUAUGAGUUUUUGGUUAUGUCCUUUAGAUUGAAUAAUGCCCUUGCAACUUUUAUGGAUAUGAUGAAUCAAGUGUUUAGACCAUACUUGGUUAAGUUUGCAGUCAUGUUCAUUGAUGAUAUAUUAGUUUACUCGAAGAGUCGAGAGGAACACAAGCAACACUUAAGGAAUGUGCUACAAAUUUUAAGGGAGCACCUGUAGUAUGCCAAGUUCUCCAAGUGCGAUUAAUGUUAGUUUCUUAGGCCACUUAAGAAUAGGGUGAUGGUGAAUCCAAAAAAGAUUGAGGCAAUGGAGAAAUGGCCAAGGCCUACAUCAGUGACUAUGAUAAUGAGUUUCAUAAGAUUGGCUAGACACUAUAUGAGAUUUGUCAAGGAUUUCUCUAAGAUCGCUACUCUUAUGAUUAAGUUGAUAUAAAGAGGUGUCAAGUUUAUAUAGGUAGGCACAUGUGAUGAGAGCUUUGGGAAGCUCAAGAAUUGUUUUACAAUAACUCCAAUGUUGAGUUUACCAUGUGGUACAAGGAGUUUUAUGGUUUAUUAUGACGCAUCACGAGUAAAACUUGGAUGUGUAUUGAUGCAACAUGACAAGGUGAAUGCAUACAUGUCGAGGCAACUUAAAAGGCAUGAGCAAAAUUACCCCAUACACGAUUCAAAAAUGGCUAUGAUAGUGUUUAGCUUAAAGAUUUAAAGGCAUUAUUUUUAUGGUGAAACUUGUGAGAUUUACAUGAAUCACGAAAGUCUCAAGUAAAUUUUUGAGCAAAGAGAUCUUAACCUCAAGCAACUUCGAUGGAUGGAGUUGUUGAAUGAUUAUGAUUGAACAAUAUUAUACCAUCACAGUAAAGCUAAUGUGGUGGCAAAUGCUUUAAGCUGGAAGUCUAUAGAGAGUUUAGCUCACAUCUUAGUUAAAAGGAGAUCAUCGGUGCAAUGUAUGCAAGAGUUGGGUGAUAUGGGCAUUCGAUUCAAGGUUAAUAAUUUAGAGGCAUUAUUAGCCUAUUUUAGAGUGAGAUUAAUGUUGAAGGAUCGCAUCAACGAAACCCAAGAUAAAGAUGAUUUAGUGGCAAAGGCUUUAGAGGAUCCUCAAGGGAGGAAGGGCAAAUGUUCACUAGAGGCACUGAUGGAUCCCUUAGACAUGGAUCUAAAGUAUAUGUGCUGCAUAUUAAUGAUUUGAGAUGAAAAAUAUUAAAUGAGGCCCAUGUGGCAGCAUAUGUUAUUCAUUCAGGCACCACCAAGAUGUACCAUGACUUGAAAGAAACAUACUAAUGCAAAGGCCCUAAGAGGGAUGUGGUCGAAUUUAUGGCCAAGUGUCUAGUAAGCUAGCUAGUUAAAUUAGAGCAUCAGAGGACUGCCAUAUUAUUACAGCAUUUACCUAUUCUUGAAUGGAAGUAAAAGCAUAUUUCUAUGAAUUUUGUGAUCGAACUACCCCAUACAAGUAAGGAGUAUGAUUCAAUUUAAGUGAUUGUGGAUAGGCUGAGUAAGUUCGUUCAUUUCUUUCUGGUGAGGACCACUUAUGGAGUGGCACAGUAUGUGAGGUUGUAUAUUGAUGAGGUAAUGCAAUUGCACAGAGUUCCAAUCAAUAUAAUGUCAAACAAAGGCACACAGUUUACUAGUCAGUUUUUGGUAGAUUUAAUAAUUUGUGUUUUCGUAUCUUAAUCAUGUCAACACGAUUAAGACUUAAAACACGACAAGUUAAACAUGAACGUAGUACAAAUAAUUAUUCGUGUUAGCAUCUGAAAUACGUAUAUGAAUAUGUUUAAUAACCGUGUAACACGACAAGACACAACUAACACAUUUAUUAAAUGUGUCAGAAUUUUUAUUACAAGAUGAUACGAUUAAUAAACAUGAUUAAAUGUGUCACUUAUACACAUUUUAACACGAUAACAUAAUUAAUCAAACGUGUUAACCAUGGACACGAUUACGAUACAAAAUAUGAUAAGGCUAAACCCAAACUUGUUUAACUUUGUGUCUUCUCAUGUCAUGUUACCAUGUCGUGCCUAAAAUUGCCAAGUCUAGAUUUAGGGGAAAGUUCAAGAAGUUUUAGGGACUAAGUUAAAUUUUAGUACUAUUUUCCACCCACAGAUAGAUAGACAGUCUGAUAAGACCAUUUAUGUCACAGCCCAAAUCCAGAGCCAUGAUCGGUGCAUGGGCUCAAUGGGCAUAGCCCACUAGGCCCAAGCAAGCCUCUUUAUGAGAUUCUGUUCCUCAUUCUAUCCAUCAUCUUUAAAACCAUGUGUUGUAAUUCUCAAUGGUGAAUGUUUUAGUAAUAUUUCAUAGCAACCGAUAUUUGUAUUAUCUCAGAGUACUAUCAUUCAUUGUCAUCUCAUAAGCGCAUCAUCAUCAAUCCAACAUAUACAGACUUCAUUUAUAACAUGACUCCUAGUAGUUUACAUUACAUAUAUGUGUACACAGAAAAAAGACUCUCAACUGUCAGCGGAGUGACUUUUAGUGAAGGUACCACUACUGAGAUGCCAUAGUACCUACCAAGAAGACGAGCAUAUGUGGACACUCAAUCUAGGUCCCAACUACCUCAGAAUCUGAAAACAUGAAGAUUUAAAAAUGUGAGUAUAAACCCAAUGAGUGAACAUAGGAAGGGAACAAGCAACGACAAGGAAUGUUUUAGAAAACAUGAUGCACUUACGAUAAACCGUGCAAUUUAGUCUCAUUUUUGGUUAAAACCCCUCAUUUCAAACUUUGAAUGUUUAAUCCCUUAAUGUUACAAGAUUCAUGAUGAACCAUAAAGUUGAAUAGAAUGAAAAUUUCAGCAAUGACCAAGCAAGACAAACAAACAGAAGGUUUUCGCACUGCAGUGAAAAGGCAUUCUUAGUUUGCAUAUGCUUUGGUUUUUCAAGAAUAUCUCACACUACAAAAGCCCAAUUGACAUGAUUUUUAAACCAUUAGAAAGAUAAGAGGCUGAGCUACAACUUUUAUGUUCACCACUUUGCCCAUUUUCUGAUUAGAAGGUGGUCAAAAUCUUUGUUAAAGUGAUAGUACUACACUAAAAUCUUGGAACCACCCGAGAGUUUCUUGCUGCAAUGAGAACCAGGCCAGUGUAACCCCCCCCCCCCAACCCAGGAGUUUCUCGCUGUAGCGAGAAUGUAGCAAGAAAUAGAGCAAUUUAGUUUAAAGGGGUAUUGUUAGAUCAAAAAGCUAUUUUCUUGCUAAAAUGAAAAGCAAUUUAGGAGCAAUUAACAAUGCCAACAUACAACACAAUCACAAUUAUUUUCAUAAACUUUCUAUAACAUAUAUAUAUACAUACAUCAUCAUGCAUACCAUCUCGCCACACUUAACUCAUGUGCACUUCCUACAUGCACAAUGCAUAUCAUCAUCAUCAUCAGCUCAUGUGCACUCCCACACCGCACAUAGUUAGGUCAUAUCAGCUCAUGUGCACUCCCACACACACGUAGCUAGGUCAUCAUUAUCACACAAAAGGAACAUCCAAUGCAUAAUAUACAUAUCAAUAUAAUGUGAUAAUGCAUGAACUAUUCAUAUUACACAUUUUACAAGAUAGAAACAUUUCAUCAAAGGCUUGUUCCCCACGUAUAUUUUUAAAGCAAAAACAAAUGAAACUUUCAAAUGAUUUAUUUAAACAUGUAGGCACUUCCCAAAACAUUUUGAAAUGCAAGUUCACUCACCGGUCUUUGUUGAUGCUUUGAUCAACUCUAACUUCAACCAAUGCUCCAUAUGGAGAUGUGGAAUCUCAUUGGAACCUACCACACCCAAUAGCAUCUCAAUCACCCAAAUUAGCAUUAAUAUAAUUCCAAAAGCUAUUUCCUAACUCAAGUUUAACUAGUUAUUCCUAACUAGCUUCCAAUCACCAUUAAGUGGCUAUUUAUUUCACUACUCUAGUCACCCUCAAAAUGAAUAAACAAUCUAAACAAUAAAACACUCACAGAUCCCAUUAUUAGCCAUUAUCAACAUCUUAAAAAAAUCAAUCUUAACUUAUUACUCACCUUGGAGCUUUUGUAGCUGAAAUCCUUUUCAAGAACUUUCGAAUUAUUGUAGAGAAUCUCUCUCUCUCUCUAUUUCUCUAUAACGUCCAGCUAAUGAAAGAAAGUAUUAAGCAAGGGCCCUUGAGCGUUCUUGAGGUGUAGAGGUGGAAGAGCAUGAAAAACCCUAUGAAAAAGUGGGCAAAACAUGAAAUUUUGAGCUUUCUAUGAGAAGUUAUGGAGGAUUCAAGGUUUCCUCCCAUAAAAAAUGAAGAAAACAUGAAAUAAAGAGAAAAGCUAGGAUGAAGAAGGAGAAGCUGCUAGAAGUUGCCGAAACUUAGAUAUUUAUGCUUCAAGUUAAUCCAAAUUUUCACUGAAUUUACCAAAAUGCCCUUAACAUGGUGGCUUUGUCUUCCUCCCAUCCUUUGUACAACCUUUUUACUCUUUUGACACUAAAACAAAGUCCAUAAUAGUCUAGAAAUACUCGAGUUCACAAAAAUGUAAAAAUUUAGACUCGAGAUGCAAAAUGACUAUUUUGCCCUUACCUUAAAAAUCAUCAUUAUAUCUAUUUCCUUCGUCAUUUUAUCCUCAUUUUCAUCAUUCAUUUAUUCCUUAGGCCUACUUAGGCCUUAAUAAUAUUAGAAAACCCACUUCUAAGAGCUUAUUAAGGAAAAUGAUGAAAUUACCCCUAGUCCGUGUUAUCGCGUCUACUUCUAGCUACGAGUCUAUAAAAAUCAAGGCCUCACGAUUUAGACACUAGAGGACAUGUUGAGGGCUUGUGUCAUAGACUUUAGAGUUGUUUGGGAUCGACACUUGCCAUUGAUUGAGUUUGCCUACAAUAAUAGUUUUCAAGCUAGCAUUUAAAUAGCAUCCUACAAGGCAUUUAAAGUUACUUGGACUGAAGAUAGUUUAAGAAACCACCAACAAGAUAAAAUUGAUUAGAGAGAAUAUAUUGACUACACAAAGUCACCAAAAGUCGUAUGCCAACCAUAGACAUCGAGAAUUGGAGUUUGAGGUCGAUGACCAUGUGUUCAUGAAGGUCUCGCCAACCAAAGGCAUUAUGAGGUUCAGUAAUAAGGACAAGUUGAGCCAAAAUAUAUUAGACCAUUUAAGAUUUUGGAAAAGGUUAGUGUGGUAGUGUAUCAGUUACCACUUUUGUCGAAUCUUGUUAGCGUUUAUCUCGUAUUUCAUGCUUCAAUACUAUGAAAGUACCAACCAAAUCCAUCUCAAAUGAUUCAGCUUAAGUCCUUCAAUACUAUGGAAGUACCAACCAAAUCCAUCUCAAAUGAUUCAACAUGAGUCCUUAUAGCUAGGAGAUGACUUAAGCUACGAAGAGGCACCAGUAGCCAUUUUAGAUAGUCAAGUGAAGAAAUUAUGCUCUAAAAAGGUAACAUUAGUUAAGACACAAUGGCAAAAUCACUUAAGUGAGAAGGUGAAGUGGGAAACCAAGAACGACAUGUGGGCAAAGUACCCACACUUAUUUGAUGAAGGUUAGUGCGUUAUUUAAAUUUGAGGAUUUCCAUAAAAGGGGAAGAAUGUGGAUUCCCACCCUAAGUAAAAGAUAAGUUAAGAAAAACCUUAGGUGAGCAUGUGGAAUUUUUAUUUCGAAACACUAAAUCUAUUUUUUAACAUCAAAAAAUUUCAUGUUUUGAUGUUGUAUGAUGUUGACCAAAGUUGGAUGUUUAAAAAAGUCCAAUUGAAUAAGUUUUUAAAUGUAUUUCUACAUACUGGAGCAAAUGUAUCGAUACAUAACCCUCAUGUAUCGAUAGAUUUAAUCUUGAAGGCUUUUAAAAAUGAGAUUGGAAGAACAUGUAUCUAUACACAUAAAAAUGUAUCGAUAGAUUUUGAAUUUUAUGAACAUCUAUCUAUACAUAGCCAAAUGUAUUGAUAAAAGUUUUCUAAAAACCAAUGUACCGAUGCAUGGACUCAAUGUAUCAUUAAAUUUCAUCGUUUUCAGAAAAACAAGAAGGGGAAAAAUGUAUUUUUACACCUUAGCCUAUAAAUAUGUUACACUUUUCAAGGGUUGGCAGCCCUUAACUAUUUUUACAAGGCCAACUCCAACCCUAAAGCUCUUUCAACCUAUUUUUAGUCCAAAUCACCAUUUUUAUGAUUUAAGGGCUUGGUUUUAAGUUUUUAUGAAAAAGAUGACAUUUUUCAACCUUGACAUCUUUAAAUCUUGAUAUUCCAACAUUGAAAAUGUUGUUUGUGUGCCCAAAUUUUUCUACUGAUUGUUAAAGCUCAGGGUUUUAUGAUUUUCCUAAGCAUCUAAGCUCACUUAAAAUAAGGAUGAAGGAUUAAUGGAUUCCUAAGUAUUAUUUAGUUAAUGCAACAGUGGGUUUAAGCUAGAAAUUAGUUUUAGCUAAAAUCGAGUAAUUUCGAAAGUAUUGGAAAUGACUAGUACAAAAUUAUUAAACUUGAUAAUGAUUGUGAUGUUUGUUGAUUAAUUAGGAAUGGUUGGAAACUUCGAGGAAUCCACCAGAGUGGAGUCGUAAUCAGAGCUAAGCAUCGAAUCUCCAAUUAGAUGAGCGAAUACACCUCUUCAAGUACUUUAAUAUGUAAAAUGAGCAUGAUUUUUAUGGGAAUGAUUUGCUAUACAUGACGAAAUGUUGUUUUAAGGAAUGGUUAUCAAAGAAUUUGAGUUUUAAGGUUUUUAACUAUAAUUUGAAAGAUUGACUAAAGGAUUUAAUUUAAUGAUGAUAGAUUGUGUAUUGACACCAAUGGUUUUCCAAACAUUUAUGAAUCUAUUAUGUAUGUAAAUAUGCUACUGCGUAUUAGUUUUCAACAAGGGGGGACAAGUCCUUUCAAAUAUUUUCCUUCAAAAUAAGAUGAAUGGUAUGAUAUACAUGUUUGACAUAAAGUAGCAUGCAAGAUAUGAUGGGUGCAUGAGUUCCUUACUAUGAGGUUAUGAUAUGUAUGCCAUGAUGAUUGAUUGUGUAUUGACACCAAUGGUUUUUUAAUCGUUUGUGAAUCUACUAUAUGUAAAUACGUUAUUAUGUACUAGUUUUUAACAAAAGGGGACAAGCCCUUUCAAAUGUUUUCCUUCAAAAUGAGAUGAAUGGUAUGAUAUACAUGCUUGAUAUAAUGUAGCAUGUAAGGUAUAAUGGGUGCAUGAGUUUUUUUCUAUGAGGUUAUGACAUGUAUCUCAUGAGAUGUAUGAGUGGAGAAUAUCAUGUACACUAUGGGCUAAGCAUUAAAUGAAUUAUGAGAUUAUGACAUGAAUGCCAUAAGAUGUUUGUUUUGAUUAUGUUAUUUACACUAUGGGCUAAGCAUGGGAAUUAAUUAUGAGAUUAUGAAAUGUAUGCUAUGAGAUGUAUGUGUUGAAAAUUUUAUAUACAUUAUACACUAAGCACAAAAAUGGUUUAUGAAAACAUUUAUAUGUCUAUGAUGCAAGUUAUGGAUGAGUACGAUCCUAAACUUGAGAAAUCCUAUGAUGAUAGUGGGGAUUGAUCACUAUUAUAAUGCCCCAACCCAAGCAAAGGGACUACAACAUGAAAACUAAGUUUCCCAGUAAGUUAGGUAAAAGUGAUAUGUAUAUGAUUAAUGAAUAAAUUGUUCCAUGCAUCUAUGCUAUGAAUUUUCAUUGUAUCAAUGUGAAUGUGUAUGUGCAUAUGUUUAAGAAUACAUAAAGUAUCCAUGUACAACAAAAAAACGUAUGUGCAUAGAGCAUGAUUGAAAGAAAAUGUCCAAAGAUUUGAAAAGGCAUUGGUUAUACCUUAGCAUGUUGAAAUGUGUUUAAGAUUUAUAUGACACAUCCAUGCAUGUAAUGAUGAAUCUAAAUAUAUAUAUAUAUAUAUGAAUAUGUAUGAACACAAGUAAAUAUGUUGAUGAGCAUUGAUUUUUGAUUAUAUACUAAGGGGUAAGAUGAUUUCUUGUAUAGAAUAUAUGCAUUUAAGGUUAAUAUUGGAGUAGGUUUGUUGAGAUAUGUAUAUGAACACAUAUUGUAGAAGAAAUAAUGGAUGAAUAAACUAUGUAACAUAUUGAAUUUGUUAAAUGUUAUGUUGGAUUAAAAUUGGUUGGUGAGAUUGAAAUAAGUGUGAUAAUGGUGAGGUUUAAGGUUGAAUCUUGUAAGAAAAUGGGAUUGAAAGAAGACAAAAAAGAAUAGAAAUUGAAAAAGGGCAUAAAUGUGAACUUUCUUUGAGAAGAAUCGAUUCUUGAAGAGAAUAAGCUUGUCACGACCCAAAUUCCAAGCCAUGACCGGCUCAUGGGCCCAAUGGAUGUAGUCCACUAAGCCCAAGCAAGCCUAUUAAUCUGACAUGUUUAUCAUUCCAUCAUAAACUACUAAGUCAUAUAUCAUAACUUAGAAUCAAAAUAAUGUUAAGCAUUGCCACUUCAUAGCAGCAUACUAAACAGGUGUAUAUACACUGUCUACACAUGUAUCUUAAUAAUUCCCAUUAGGUUCGUCUAUACACAACAAAAGGAGACUCGAUGUCUAACAGAGAGACUCAGACGAAUGUACAGCUACUGAAUGCCGAGACACCUACCAAAAGAUGGAUACAAGUCCAUGAGGACACCUCGUCCUAGUUACCAGCUGUCUCUUAAUCUGAAAACAUGAAGUUGAAAGCGGUGAGUAUAAACUCAGUAAGUGAACAAGAAGGGAGCAAGCAUACCAUAAGGAAUGUUUAUCGAAAUCAUGAUGCACUCAUUUUCUCAAAACAAUGCAAUUUGUUCUAGUUCUUAGUAGAACCC
rnacentral:lncRNA from 1 species